ACAGACAGACAGACAGACAGACAGACAGACAGGAAGCCACCAGACCUCCAGGGCCACGUUCAGUAACCAGACAGACAGACCGUUUAGGAGUAAAUACUUUAUUAACAUUCUCCUUCAGCAACACCUCUACAGGAAAUAGAGACUCUGUUCCUGGUUCCCAUGGCUACGAGUGGUUAGUUAGUGAGACGGGCGGAGACAGACCCUCCUCUCUGCUCUGCUACAGUCUUUAAUGAGGUCCCUUUAACACAAGAGGUCCCCUGUGGUCCCGUGACCCAAACCACAGAAUACUGCUUAGCGUUAACUAUGGUGACAGGUUCUCUGAUCGUUUGGUAGAACCCGUCUCGUCUCCUCUGGGUCUCAACCUAAAAACAUUUCAAUUGUUGACUUGUGCCAAGGUCCUCCUCUGUUACCCAGAACACACUGCUUCACCCAGACAGCGUCCCAACAGUCUAAAGCAGCUCGUCUUCUCCUCCUUCUCAUCUGAAAGUGUCCUGGUCACCCUGAAAGCUAAUUCCCUCAUCAUAUAUACUCUUUAUACCCGCUUUCACUUGUCCUGUGUUUUUCCUGCGCAGACGAAGGAGGGGUGAGGAGGCGAGAGGAAGAGAAGGGAGGAAGCAUCUUCAGACUAUUGAGAUUCAGCCGGCCUGAAUUCCCUCCAUUAUUCAAACAAUUCAGUUAGCGCUCUUGACAGAUAGCAUUUAGCCAACUGUUAGCUCUAGACAAUUAGCUAACCGUUAGCUCUAGACAAUUAGCUAACCGUUAUCUCUAGACAAUUAGCUAGCUAACCGUUAGCUCUAGACAGACAGCUAGCUAACCGUUAGCUCUAGACAGACAGCUAGCUAACCGUUAGCUCUAGACAGACAGCUAGCUAACCGUUAGCUCUAGACAGACAUUUAGCUAACCGUUAGCUCUAGACAGACAGCUAGCUAACCGUUAGCUCUUGACAGAUAGCAUUUAGCUAACCGUUAGCUCUAGACAGAUAGCAUUUAGCUAACCGUUAGCUCUAGACAGACAGCUAGCUAACCGUUAGCUCUAGACAGACAGCUAGCUAACCGUUAGCUCUAGACAGACAUUUAGCUAACCGUUAGCUCUAGACAGACAGCUAGCUAACCGUUAGCAUUUAGCUAACCGUUAGCUCUAGACAGAUAGCAUUUAGCUAACCGUUAGCGCUAGACAGAUAGCAUUUAGCUAACCGUUAGCUUAGCGCUCCAGACUACCUAGAAUAUAAAAUAGCAUUUCUCAGACGUAUAGAAAACAUAGUGUAUCUAUAGCAACAUCAUCAAUAGAAAAACCUGCAUGGUUAGUUCCUUCAUGUUAAUAACAUGUAAUACUGGGGAAAGGUAAUGCUGUAUACUUCACUGUGUUAGGCAUCUCUCUACUCAACAUUAGGUUAUACCUUCAUCCCUCUAUGUUCACAGUUGAAGGGAUGAGAGAUGGAGGGAGGGGUAGAGGAGGGGUGGAGGGAGGGAUGGAGGAGGGAUGAAGGGAGGAUGAAGGAGGGAUGAAGGAGGGAUGGAGGGAGGGGUAGAGGAGGGAUGAGGAGGCGAGAGGAAGAGAAGGGAGGAAGCAUCUUCAGACUAUUGAGAUUCAGCCGGCCUGAAUUCCCUCCAUUAUUCAAACAAUUCAGUUAGCGCUCUUGACAGAUAGCAUUUAGCCAACUGUUAGCUCUAGACAGACAGUUAGCUAACCGUUAUCUCUAGACAAUUAGCUAGCUAACCGUUAGCUCUAGACAGACAGCUAGCUAACCGUUAGCUCUAGACAGACAGCUAGCUAACCGUUAGCGCUUGACAGAGUUAGCCAACCGUUAGCGCUUGACAGAGUUAGCCAACCGUUAGCGCUUGACAGAUAGCAUUUAGCUAACCGUUAGCUCUAGACGGACAGCUAGCUAACCGUUAGCUCUAGACAGACAGCUAGCUAACCGUUAGCUCUAGACAGACAGCUAGCUAACCGUUAGCUCUAGACAGAUAGCAUUUAGCUAACCGUUAGCUCUAGACAGAUAGCAUUUAGCUAACCGUUAGCUCUAGACAGAUAGCAUUUAGCUAACCGUUAGCUUAGCGCUCCAGACUACCUAGAAUAUAAAAUAGCAUUUCUCAGACGUAUAGAAAACAUAGUGUAUCUAUAGCAACAUCAUCAAUAGAAAAACCUGCAUGGUUAGUUCCUUCAUGUUAAUAACAUGUAAUACUGGGGAAAGGUAAUGCUGUAUACUUCACUGUGUUAGGCAUCUCUCUACUCAACAUUAGGUUAUACCUUCAUCCCUCUAUGUUCAC
rnacentral:lncRNA from 1 species